GGGUGACUUCCCUGAAGUCCUCAGAUGCUCUUGCCCUGUUUCCCAUGAGAGGAAAUAUGGAUAUCUAGGGUGCACAUUGGUUGGCAAACACUGCAUGCCAACAAGCACCUAGUCCCACAAUGGAACCUUGGGCAUUUCUGCAAGGAUCGCACCUUGCUCAUGACAAUGUCUUUUCUGGUGUUUUGCAAUCAUCUCACAUGCCACCUUGGAAGGCAGAGAAACACAGAUAAUCAGAAGGGAUAACAAGCGCCUUGACUUCUUUCCCUUUCCUCCUUAGGGAAGACAUUCUUCCAAGUAUCAAGAAAGGGAGCCCUUGCUUCCCUGGAAGACAUUUCGUCCCAGCAAUCACUCUCCAGUUCCAUGUGAUCAUUCCUACUCUGAGCCAGUUUUGGAAAGGAAGGUAAGUGGUUGGAUUUGAUUAGGUGAUAUCCAAGUAGAGGUAGCCGAAUUCUGUCUAGGACUGGGUCAAUGAUGAAAACCCAAUGUCAUGAAGAAAAGUGAUGACAUAAAAUUCAUGCUCAAUAGGAUUACGCUGAGGCCCA
rnacentral:lncRNA from 1 species